GCUGCAAUGCAUCGGUAGGGGAGCAUUCUGUAGAGCGUCGAAGGUGCAUCGUGAGGUGUGCUGGAGCAUACAGAAGAGCAAAUGUUGGUAUAAGUAACGAUAACGGAAGUGAGAAUCUUCCGCGCCGAAAGUCUAAGGUUUCCUUGAGCUCUGUUCGUCAUCUCAGGGUUAGUCGGCCCCUAAGGCGAGACCGAAAGGUGUAGUCGAUGGGAAUCAGGCAACUAAUAAUAUUCCUGAACCACCGAAAACUUUAAACACAGGGACGCAGGAGCACAGGUUAUAAGAGUUAAUGGCUAUCUCUUAUAGCUGUAGCACACUGCCGAGAAAAGCUGUGUGUAUAGUUUAGGUGACCGUACCGGAAACCGACACAGGUAGACAGGUUGAGUAUACUCAGGCGCGCGAGUGAGUCGCUGUUAAGGAACUCGGCAAAUUGACCCCGUAACUUCGGGAUAAGGGGUGCCACGGCAGCGUGGCCGCAGAGAAAUGGCCCAGGCGACUGUUUAACAAAAACACAUCUCUCUGCUAACUCGUGAAGAGGAAGUAUAGGGAGGGACACCUGCCCGGUGCUGGAAGGUUAAAGGGAGGAGUCAGCCGCAAGGCGAAGCCCCGAACUGAAGCCCCAGUAAACGGCGGCCGUAACUAUAACGGUCCUAAGUAGCGAAAUUCCUUGUCGGGUAAGUUCCGACCUGCACGAAUGGUGUAACGAUCUGGGCACUGUCUCAACAGCGAGCUCGGUGAACUUGUGGUACCGGUGAAGACGCCGGUUACCCGCACUGGGACGGAAAGACCCCAUGCACCUUUACUGCAGCUUAUUAUUGGGUCUGAUUGCAUCAUGCGUAGGAUAGGUGGGAGACUGUGAAGCGGAGCUUGUGGGCUUCGUGGAGUCGCUGGUGAAAUACCACCCUUGAUGCAGUUGGAUUCUAACCUGGCAGAGUGGAUCUGCAGGGACAGUGGUAGGUGGGCAGUUUGACUGGGGCGGUCGCCUCCCAAAAAGUAACGGAGGCUUACAAAGGUCACCUCAGCACGGUCGGUAAUCGUGCGUAGAGUGCAAAGGCAUAAGGUGGCUUUACUGUGAGACCGACAGGUCGAGCAGUUGCGAAAGCAGGUCUUAGUGAUCCGGCGGUUCUGUGUGGAAGGGCCGUCGCUCAAAGGAUAAAAGGUACGCUGGGGAUAACAGGCUGAUCUUGCCCAAGAGUUCACAUCGACGGCAAGGUUUGGCACCUCGAUGUCGGCUCAUCGCAUCCUGGGGCCGGAGAAGGUCCCAAGGGAUUGGCUGUUCGCCAAUUAAAGCGGUACGUGAGCUGGGUUCAGAACGUCGUGAGACAGUUCGGUCCCUAUCCAGUGUGGGCGCAAGAUACUUGAGGGGACCCGCUCUUAGUACGAGAGGACCGAGCGCCCGGACCGACGGUGCAUCUGUUGUCAUGCCAAUGGCACAGCAGAGUAGCCAUGUCCGGAAAGGAUAAGUGCUGAAAGCAUCUCAAGCACGAAACCUACCCCAAGAUUAGGUAUCUCUUAAGGACCCAGGUAGACGACCUGGUUGAUAGGCUUCAGGUGUAAGCGUAGUAAUACGUUCAGCCGAGAAGUACUAGUAGUCCGUCGACUUACCUGA
rnacentral:rRNA from 1 species